AUUGCUUCUUUGCCUUUUGGCUAAGAUUAAGUGUAGUAUCUGUUCUUAUUAGUUUAAUAUCUGAUACGUCCCCUAUCUGGGGACCAUAUAUUAAAUGGAUUUUUGGAACAGGGAGUUGGAAGAAGAGCUUGCUCUGUCCACUCCACGCAUUGACCUGGUAUUGCAGUACCUCCAGGACCAGUGCACCAAAA